AUGGCGACCGCCGGGAAGGUGAUCAAGUGCAAAGCCGCGGUGGCGUGGGAGGCGGGGAAGCCGCUGUCCAUGGAGGAGGUGGAGGUGGCGCCGCCGCAGGCCAUGGAGGUGCGCGUCAAGAUCCUCUUCACCUCCCUCUGCCACACCGACGUCUACUUCUGGGAGGCCAAGGGCCAGACCCCCAUGUUCCCUCGGAUCUUCGGUCAUGAAGCUGGAGGCAUAGUGGAGAGUGUUGGAGAGGGUGUGACUGAGCUUGCCCCUGGUGACCAUGUCCUCCCUGUGUUCACUGGGGAGUGUAAGGAAUGCCCACAUUGCAAGUCUGCGGAGAGCAACAUGUGUGAUCUGCUCAGGAUCAACACCGACAGAGGUGUCAUGAUCGGGGAUGGCAAGUCACGCUUCUCUAUUGACGGGAAGCCGAUUUACCAUUUCGUAGGGACUUCCACCUUCAGUGAGUAUACUGUCAUGCAUGUUGGUUGUGUUGCCAAGAUCAACCCUGAGGCUCCCCUUGACAAAGUCUGUGUUCUUAGCUGUGGUAUUUCCACUGGUCUUGGCGCAUCCAUUAAUGUUGCAAAACCACCAAAGGGUUCGACAGUGGCGAUAUUUGGGCUAGGAGCUGUUGGCCUUGCUGCUGCAGAAGGUGCAAGGAUUGCAGGUGCAUCAAGGAUCAUUGGUGUUGACUUGAACGCCAGCAGAUUUGAAGAAGCUAGAAAAUUUGGCUGCACGGAAUUUGUGAACCCGAAAGAUCACACCAAGCCAGUUCAACAGGUGCUCGCUGAGAUGACAAAUGGUGGAGUUGACCGCAGUGUUGAGUGCACGGGCAACGUCAAUGCUAUGAUACAAGCAUUUGAAUGUGUUCAUGAUGGCUGGGGUGUAGCUGUGCUGGUGGGUGUGCCGCACAAGGAUGCCGAAUUCAAGACCCACCCGAUGAACUUCCUGAACGAGAGGACUCUCAAGGGCACCUUCUUCGGAAACUUCAAGCCGCGCACUGACCUGCCCAAUGUCGUGGAGAUGUACAUGAGAAAGGAGCUGGAGGUGGAGAAGUUCAUCACACACAGCGUGCCGUUCUCGGAGAUCAACAAGGCAUUCGACCUCAUGGCGAAGGGCGAGGGCAUCCGCUGCAUCAUCCGCAUGGAGAACUAA
rnacentral:rRNA from 1 species